rnacentral:rRNA from 1 species
CCUACGGGAGGCAGCAGUGAGGAAUAUUGGUCAAUGGUCGGGAGACUGAACCAGCCAAGCCGCGUGAGGGAUGAAGGUACAGAGUAUCGUAAACCUCUUUUGUCAGGGAACAAAGGCGGGGACGUGUCCCCGGAUGAGUGUACCUGAAGAAAAAGCAUCGGCUAACUCCGUGCCAGCAGCCGCGGUAAUACGGAGGAUGCGAGCGUUAUCCGGAUUUAUUGGGUUUAAAGGAUGCGCAGGCGGAGGAUCAAGUCAGCGGUAAAAUUGAGAGGCUCAACCUCUUCGAGCAGUGGAAACUGGUUUACUUGAGUGAAGGAGAGGUAAGCGGAAUGCGUGGUGUAGCGGUGAAAUGCGUAGAUAUCACGAAGAACUCCGAUGGCGAAGGCAGCAUACCGGCGCGCAACUGACGCUGAGGCACGAAAGUAUGGGUAGCGAACAGGAUUAGAUACCCGUGUAGUC